UACGGAGGGUGCGAGCGUUGUUCGGAAUCACUGGGCGUAAAGGGCGUGUAGGCGGUCCGCUAAGUCUGAUGUGAAAGCCCGGGGCUCACCCCCGGAAGGGCAUUGGAAACUGACGGACUCGAGUCCCGAAGAGGAGGGUGGAAUUCCUGGUGUAGCGGUGAAAUGCGUAGAUAUCAGGAGGAACACCGGUGGCGAAGGCGGCCCUCUGGACGGUGACUGACGCUGAGACGCGAAAGCUAGGGUAACAAACGGG
rnacentral:rRNA from 1 species